rnacentral:tRNA from 1 species
GCGCUCUUAGCUCAGUUGGUUAGAGCACCACCUUGACAUGGUGGGGGUCGGUGGUUCGAGUCCACUAGGACGCACCA